rnacentral:rRNA from 1 species
AGAGAGACAUGCGCGCAUAUCAAUAAGCGGAGGAAAAGAAACUAACUAGGAUUCCCUCAGUAACGGCGAGUGAAGCGGGAAGAGCUCAAAUUUGAAAUCUUCAAGGUUCUACCUUGACGAAUUGUAGUUUAAAGAAGUGUUUUCUGUUGGAGUUUUGGUAAAAGUUCUUUGGAAUAGGACAUCAUAGAGGGUGAGAAUCCCGUAUUUGACCAUUAUUUCCAGCUUUGCGAUACACUUUCAAAGAGUCGGAUUGUUUGGGAAUGCAGUCCAAAAUGGGUGGUAAAUUUCAUCUAAAGCUAAAUAUUGGCGAGAGACCGAUAGCGAACAAGUACCGUGAGGGAAAGAUGAAAAGAACUUUGAAAAGAGAGUUAAACAGUACGUGAAAUUGUCAAAAGGGAAGCGUUUGACACCAGUGUUGUUUUUCUGAAAAUCAAUUAAAGAACUGUUUAUGCUAAGUUGUUUAGACUUUAUCAGCUAACUGUUUAGUUUUGAGCUUUUCUUUAAUGCACUUUUCAGUUAACAAGUCGACAUCAAUUUCUUUUGUUGUAAAAGGGUCAUUGGAAGGUGGCUUUCUUUUCGGAGAAAGUGUUUAUAGCCUUUGGCCUCUGCAAUCGGAGAGAUUGAGGUCUGCAGCGUAGAUCCUUCGGGGUUAGAUACAUUUGUGCUAAGUUAUAGCCUUUCAUAGACAACUUGUUGACUAUGAUCAGUCAUGUAGCUUACUCGCUUAUGCUAUUUUACCUACGCUUAGGAUGUUGA